rnacentral:tRNA from 1 species
UCCCAGUGGCUCAGACAGUAAGAAAUCUGCCUGCAAUGCAGGAGACCCAGGUUUGAUUCCUGGGUUGGGAA